CCAGGAUUAGAUACCCUAUUAUUCCUAAACUAAACAAAACCUAAAGAAGUACUUGCUAUACGCCUGAAACCUAAAGGAUUUGGCGGUGUUUUACCUGACCAGAGGAACCCGUUCUAUAACUCGUCACUACGCGAAACAUCUUACCCAGGGUCAGCCCAUAUACCGCCAUUUUAAUUACACCAAAAGGUAACAUUUCAAUGGGUCACCAAGAAACUAGGCAAGGUGUGGCAUCCCAGGGGAUGAAUAGGUUACAUUUUAAAAGCAAGUGGAAUCUUUAUGAAAAAUAGAAGAAAAAGGAUUUGUUAGUAAUUCUUG
rnacentral:rRNA from 1 species